rnacentral:rRNA from 1 species
UGAAUACGUUCGGGCCUUGUACACACCGCCCGUCACACCAUGGGAGUGGGUUGCAAAAGAAGUAGGUAGCUUAACCUUCGGGAGGGCGCUUACCACUUUGUGAUUCAUGACUGGGGUGAAGUCGUAACAAGGUAACCGUAGGGGAACCUGCGGUUGGAUCACCUCCUUACCUUAAAGAAGCGUACUUUGCAGUGCUCACACAGAUUGUCUGAU